rnacentral:lncRNA from 1 species
UGCAGCCUAGAUGACUGGUGGAGCAGGGCUGUGGAGAAGAUUCCCCGUGAUCUCCAAUCAGGUUUCAAUUCUAUUGUUUAAACCAACACGAACCUAGUUAUUUUGAGCAACACAAGUUAACUCCAUUAACAUUUAGUACUAUAAGGUUUACAAGUGAAACAAAGGUACCUAAUGAAACUGUUUGCAUUAAUUCCCAUGAUUCUGGUUACAUGUCGCCGCUGCUUUCAUAUGCUGCUGAUAUGCAUUCAAUAUGUGCAGGAGAAGGAGACUGCUAAAAAUAUAUUGCAAGGGAUAAAAAUGUUACAGUCAGGAUUUCCAUCAAUGGAUAUUGACCAUUUUGCACUGUAAAGUCCACCCGCAGAUAAGUUGGAACAUUGGACAGUAAGUGUCAAGGUAACAUUGCUUCCUUACUAUGUCCAUCGUGCAUUGCAUACAAGGAGGAAUUUCAGCUUUCAAGAAAACAUCUGUAGGGUAAGACUAGUCAUGAACUAGGGUUGUUGAGGUGGUACUCACCUGAUACAUGACUGACGGCCUUUUAGUUUCAGAAGCCAAAAGUUGAAACUAAGAAUCCAGCGGUUGAGUUGGCUUUUGAAAGGCUGUCUUUUGAGGAAAUAAACUAAAAAACUGAAAAGCAUGUUGAUAUGAGCUUUUCUGGCUUUUGGUGUGCUAAAAAGCUAAUUUUUUUUUUUACAGAAGUCAAUAGCCAAAAAGCCAACAGCCGGAAGUCAAAAGCUAGCUUCGAGCCAAAAUCCCAAAACUGCAGUACAAACAAACAGGCCCUGAAGGGAAUGAUUCUAACGAGGGCUGCCCAACUGAUGGAAGCUCAAUUGCACAUCUCGAUCGGGAAUUACUUCCAAUCUUCGGUCACAGGCUCACAGCGUGAUGCUUAUUGUUUGUAUCCUCGUCACGAGACUCCAUGCUGCUGGAUACGAUGACCUACCGCGCAUGAUGCUGGCUCGUAGUUCCUGGAGCUUGGCAACAAGGAGAACCAGGCGCCUACAUGGCGCGAAGAUGAGC